CGGGUUUUAAUUAACUUGGUAACGCAGCUAACGCGUGAAGUAGACCGCCUGGGGAGUACGGUCGCCAAGAUUAAAACUCAAAGGAAUUGACGGGGACCCGCACAAGCGGUGGAUGAUGUGGANUAAUUCGAUGCAACGCGAAAAACCUUACCUACCCUUGACAUGGCAAGAACCCUUGAGAGAUNCAGGGGGUGCUCGAAAGAGAACUUGUACACAGGUGCUGCAUGGCUGUCGUCAGCUCGUGUCGUGAGAUGUUGGGUUAAGUCCCGCAACGAGCGCAACCCUUGUCAUUAGUUGCUACGAAAGAGCACUCUAAUGAGACUGCCGGUGACAAACCGGAGGAAGGUGGGGAUGACGUCAAGUCCUCAUGGCCCUUAUGGGUAGGGCUUCACACGUCAUACAAUGGUACAUACAGAGGGCCGCCAACCCGCGAGGGGGAGCUAAUCCCAGAAAGUGUAUCGUAGUCCGGAUUGUAGUCUGCAACUCGACUACAUGAAGUUGGAAUCGCUAGUAAUCGCGGAUCAGCAUGUCGCGGUGAAUACGUUCCCGGGUCUUGUACACACCGCCCGUCACACCAUGGGAGCGGGUUUUACCAGAAGUAGGUAGCUUAACCGCAAGGAGGGCGCUUACCACGGUAGGAUUCGUGACUGGGGUGAAGUCGUAACAAGGUACC
rnacentral:rRNA from 1 species